CAAAUUAUAAAAAAGUGAUAUAUGAUACAAAUACGUUAGUAUAUGGAAUUCUGUUUCACAGGACAAAGACAAACCAAAUGUAAUUAAAUACUCACCACAUAAACAAAGACCUUCUUGUCCAGAAAUGUACCUUUUAUCAUCAAUUUGUGGUUUGUAUUUCAUAACUAAUAUCAUCACCUCACCAGUGACUUUGUCAUAUAGAUAUACUUAAGUUGUGCAUGUAUUAUGAUCAGGGUGCAAACAGGACAGAGGUCUCAUAAGGUUCACAUAAUAUCUUUGUGCCGUUAUAGUCACUACAUUCAACUCUCACCGGUGUUCAUUAAAGUCAUUAUAACAACAUUAACCAAUUAUAGGGGACUACUCAUAAUACCCAGCAGUGUCAACAAGUAGUUCAAAUGAAUUCAAAUGAAUAAAACAAUCCAGAACAUAUACUGUUGUUCCAUGUGAUGGGAAGAGUGACUUCCUUAUCUGUUCCCUUUGCAUAGCAUCCCAACUCCCUCACUAUAAGGAAUGAUGAUCUGUGCUUCAUGCGUUGCCUUACUGCUGCUGGUCAUUCUACAGACGCCACAAGAGAGCACAGCGAGCUGUUCCUCCCCAACAUCGCUCUGCUGUCUGGGCACAAACAGCACAUGCUUUCGUAACUCCUGCUAUUGUGACGAGUACUGCAUCACAGCCAGAGACUGCUGUUCUGACUACAAUCAGACUUGUAGAUCACCCCUUUCACCUACUAAUACACCGCCAGGCACUUCUGCACUCACACCUGAAGAUGCCAUCUCAACAACUCCACCACUAACCAGCAGUCAGCUACCAACAUCCAGCACAGACCAUGAAACACCCGAGGAGCCCUCGGCUGUUAUGGAGAAGCCAAAAGAGAUCACUACACCGCCAGGCACUUCUGCACUCACACCUGAAGAUGCCAUCUCAACAACUCCACCACUAAACAGCAAUCAGCUACCAACAUCCAGCACAUACCCUGAAACACCUGAGGAGGCCUCGCCUGUUACGGAGAAGCCAAAAGGUAACUUUAAGAAGUACAGUGGGGUGCACUUAAAACAAUUUCAGUGAUGUGUCGUCAGAAUUGUUCCAGGGAUUAUCAAGUGUUAGUUGAUAUCACGAGAAAAUCACAGAACCUCAUACACACACACACAGACACAGACACAGACACAGACACAGACACAGACACAGACACACACAUUCAUUUCCACUGAAAUGCCUCCUUUAGAUCCCACCAGAGUCAUCAUGAGAGUGAGAGGCUUCCUGCACACAAACACGGGAGAGGAGGCAGUACUGGAGGCCUUAAGGAAAGUAAGUUAAAUGCCAUGCUUUAACAGUGGAUCACUUCAGUCAUUAUAAAAGACUAGACUAUAUUACCUUUUAACAUUUACAAAUAGAUUAAUAUCCAUUAUGAAAAAGGGACACACCAAAGUCAUUAUCUCCAAGAACACAAAUGUGAUGUAAGAUGUCUAGAAAUAUGUACGAGUAAACUAAAUAUCACGGGCAGA
rnacentral:lncRNA from 1 species